AUUGAACGCUGGCGGCAGGCCUAACACAUGCAAGUCGAACGGUAACAGAAAGCAGCUUGCUGCUUUGCUGACGAGUGGCGGACGGGUGAGUAAUGUCUGGGAAACUGCCUGAUGGAGGGGGAUAACUACUGGAAACGGUAGCUAAUACCGCAUAACGUCGCAAGACCAAAGAGGGGGACCUUCGGGCCUCUUGCCAUCGGAUGUGCCCAGAUGGGAUUAGCUAGUAGGUGGGGUAACGGCUCACCUAGGCGACGAUCCCUAGCUGGUCUGAGAGGAUGACCAGCCACACUGGAACUGAGACACGGUCCAGACUCCUACGGGAGGCAGCAGUGGGGAAUAUUGCACAAUGGGCGCAAGCCUGAUGCAGCCAUGCCGCGUGUAUGAAGAAGGCCUUCGGGUUGUAAAGUACUUUCAGCGGGGAGGAAGGGAGUAAAGUUAAUACCUUUGCUCAUUGACGUUAUCCGCAGAAGAAGCACCGGCUAACUCCGUGCCAGCAGCCGCGGUAAUACGGAGGGUGCAAGCGUUAAUCGGAAUUACUGGGCGUAAAGCGCACGCAGGCGGUUUGUUAAGUCAGAUGUGAAAUCCCCGGGCUCAACCUGGGAACUGCAUCUGAUACUGGCAAGCUUGAGUCUCGUAGAGGGGGGUAGAAUUCCAGGUGUAGCGGUGAAAUGCGUAGAGAUCUGGAGGAAUACCGGUGGCGAAGGCGGCCCCCUGGACGAAGACUGACGCUCAGGUGCGAAAGCGUGGGGGAGCAAACAGGAUUAGAUACCCUGGUAGUCCACGCCGUAAACGAUGUCGACUUGGAGGUUGUGCCCUUGAGGCGUGGCUUCCGGAGCUAACGCGUUAAGUCGACCGCCUGGGGAGUACGGCCGCAAGGUUAAAACUCAAAUGAAUUGACGGGGGCCCGCACAAGCGGUGGAGCAUGUGGUUUAAUUCGAUGCAACGCGAAGAACCUUACCUGGUCUUGACAUCCACAGAACUUUCCAGAGAUGGAUUGGUGCCUUCGGGAACUGUGAGACAGGUGCUGCAUGGCUGUCGUCAGCUCGUGUUGUGAAAUGUUGGGUUAAGUCCCGCAACGAGCGCAACCCUUAUCCUUUGUUGCCAGCGGUCCGGCCGGGAACUCAAAGGAGACUGCCAGUGAUAAACUGGAGGAAGGUGGGGAUGACGUCAAGUCAUCAUGGCCCUUACGACCAGGGCUACACACGUGCUACAAUGGCGCAUACAAAGAGAAGCGACCUCGCGAGAGCAAGCGGACCUCAUAAAGUGCGUCGUAGUCCGGAUUGGAGUCUGCAACUCGACUCCAUGAAGUCGGAAUCGCUAGUAAUCGUGGAUCAGAAUGCCACGGUGAAUACGUUCCCGGGCCU
rnacentral:rRNA from 1 species